rnacentral:rRNA from 1 species
UACGUAGGGUGCGAGCGUUAAUCGGAAUUACUGGGCGUAAAGCGUGCGCAGGCGGUUCGCCAAGUCAGGUGUGAAAUCCCCGGGCUUAACCUGGGAACUGCAUUUGUGACUGCAUAGCUAGAGUACGGUAGAGGGGGAUGGAAUUCCGCGUGUAGCAGUGAAAUGCGUAGAUAUGCGGAGGAACACCGAUGGCGAAGGCAAUCCCCUGGACCUGUACUGACGCUCAUGCACGAAAGCGUGGGGAGCAAACAGG